UACGUAGGGGGCAAGCGUUGUCCGGAAUCAUUGGGCGUAAAGAGCGUGUAGGCGGCCCGAUAAGUCCGCCGUGAAAGUCCAGGGCUCAACCCUGGAAUGCCGGUGGAAACUGUCGGGCUGGAGUCCGGAAGAGGCGAGUGGAAUUCCUGGUGUAGCGGUGGAAUGCGCAGAUAUCAGGAGGAACACCGGUGGCGAAGGCGGGUCUCUGGGCCGAUACUGACGCUGAGGAGCGAAAGCGUGGGGAGCAAACAGG
rnacentral:rRNA from 1 species